CUGAACUUGGUUUUUCCUCCUCCAACCAGAAUGGCAUGACUCAGGUAUAAAAUCUCCUCUCCUCUCAGAGACUCUGGCGGUCUGGAAAGUAUAAAAAGAAAAAACAAAAUCAGUAAAUUCAAGAGAGAAAUGAAAAGAGCAAGAAAACUGUAGGAAGAGAGGGAAAGAAAAAGGAAAAUACUUGUACACAAAAUUGGAAGGGUGUUUGGAACCCCGCCUCAAUUUCUAACAACUGAAGCUAAGGCUUGUUGGUCUCCACUGGGUUCCUCCACUGGUCUCUCCAACCCAAUUCCCUUGUUCAGGAUCUGUGGGGUUCUUUGCCUGGGAAAGGCACAUUCACAUGGUCUGGUCUAUGGUAGGGCUUUACCUACUGGCGGUGGGUAGGGAAAGGUGGUGGUGGCAGCAGAGAGGGAGGUGAGAAGAGCCCUGGGAGGUGUGGCCAUGUCAGGUGGAGGCCCCUCCCCCACCCAUACGGAGGGGCCCAGCAUCCACCACCCCAGGGGAGCCUCUGGGCUCCAGGCCAUCCUGGGUGACUUAAGCCAGAGUGAUCUUAUUACAGCCAUUAGUGACCAGAAUGAUUUCUUAUGCCAAGAGCAGAAAGAAAUGGAUCCAAAUGAGAAAACCGGGACAGCUUGGGUUCUGCGAGAUGGCUGCGAGCUGGGGAUUGCACCGAUAAUAAAGCCCAUAGCUGCUUCUUUGGCAUCCACUCCAUGUCAGGCAAAGUCGAGCACACAGGUAGGCUCUGAGCUGCAGAGUUUGUAGUUGUGCAGGGCUGGAAGGCACUUAUGGGUAACAAUUAGACUAUAAUGUGCUUAUGGGUUGGCAGAAAAUGGGGAGACAUUCCUGGCGUACGUAAGAAGACUUACUACUCCCACUUCCUUCCCAGCGGUAGGUUUAAGGUAAGUCUCUCCUUUGCUGAUGAUGACCAACCCUGCCCCCAGAAUCCAUCAGGAGUUUGGACGCAUCCACAGCUCCCGGAGAAGAUCCCGCUUGACCUCCCUGUCAGAGGCAAGUGCUUAGUGCAUUUCUGAGGCCAGGUAUACCUGGGUUGGGUCUUAGCUUCUAGACUGGAGCUGGCAUCUUGGCCUCAGAGUUUAUUUCUGCCUUUGCAAAACUGGGACAUUUGCCCAAUAAGGGGUUUGGAAGUGCCGUUCCUAGCCCUGAUGAUCCUCAUCAUGGUGCAUUUGUUUAUUCAUCUUUAGAGAAAAGACGCAGUUUCUUUCUAGAAGCUCUAGAAAUGUGACAAAACUUCCAUCUCCCCUUCCCACGCCGAGGUAUGGUUGCUGGGUUGAUCACCUCCCUCCCCCCACCGAUUA
rnacentral:lncRNA from 1 species